rnacentral:lncRNA from 1 species
UCCAAACGCUGACUUUCACAAAGGAAAUGCUCCCAGGUUACAAAGCUAAGCACUUGCGUCACCCACUUUCCUAACGACGAAGAAACUUGAUGUUCAUUUAUUUUUAUUUUAUGACUACGAACAGGAGAUCUGGAUCACUAAUUCCUUAUAUGACUUCUCUAUGCGGACCAAAAUAACCAGAUAAAUGUUUCACUGAAUCUCACUGAAGAUGGAUCCUU